rnacentral:lncRNA from 1 species
CGCGGAAUUUUAUUAAAUUUAUUUUUUGUACAUUUUCGAAGCUUUAGUGCAAUAAAUUUAUUUCUUUUUUUUGUUAUAUAUGCACUAGAAUAGUCACAACUGUUAUGCAAUUGUUUUUUAAUCUCAAUUUGCUGAAAAUCCCGGGAUCACUGCAAGCUUGUGUAUCGCGCAUGAAUAGAUUACAAAAGUAGUUUCGGAAACAUGGUUUAUCGAAGUGUAAACUUAGAGAAAAAUUCUAAUUGACCAAUCCAAUUCAAGUAUUUAUAGAUAUGCAAAUCAUAUAAGAAUUAUAUUAUAAUAACUCGUGUUUUCU